rnacentral:lncRNA from 1 species
CGAGGUCGUUCGCCAACCUGCAGGACGUGGCCGCCGCCGGCGCAACCACGGCGAGCCUCGCCAAGCCGGAGAACCCAUUCAACAAGCGCCGCCGCAUCCUCCGCUGCUCCUCCAUCCGCCGCGUCUCCUCCACCUCCCUCACCGCGCUCCCGCCCUUCCUGCCGCCGCACCACCAUCCACCGCCGCCCGACGACGGCGGCGGCGGCGGCGGCAAUGGCUGAGGACAACGACGAGGAGGAGGAGGAGGAGGAUGAAAUGAUGAAAAGAAUCAAAUUCAGUGAGGACAAAUUAAUUAAGCAGAGAUGGAUAAUAUGGAUGGAUCCCUUUUGUAAUAGUUUGGGAUCUCAUCUCAUCAAAUCAACCAUCAAAAAUACCUUAUAUUAGUGCUUAGGUUUCUUGAUUUCUUCUUCUCUUAUAUUAGCUGCAUGCCAAUCCUACCUAUGAACAAACUCACUGUUAAUUAGUUGCAUAAUUGCAUUGACCAAGAGAUGAGAGCAUCAUAUCAUGCACCAAAUACACUUAUGGAGAACUCCUAUUGAACAAUGUUUAAUUCUUGGUGCAUAUAUAUGCCAUGUAUGUAUCCUACUAAUUCCUAACUAGCUAGUGCCUUUGAUCUCAUUGGGCUAACCUUCAAUUUUGUUCAAUAGCAAUAACCUUCUGUCAAUAUAGCUGCAGGAGGCAUGCAGAGAUGAAUUAAUCAAGACCCAAUUAGUCAUCCCAAUCUGUUCUUUGCACUUAU